AGACUCCGGUUCCCUCUCUCAUCGACAGACGGGUCGGCGGUCAGUAGGAGGAGGGUUAGCUGUCCCCUGAGAUCCCCACAGGGAUUCACUUGGCCUCACACAUGCUUGUGAGCAAACACGACGGAGCAGGAGGUACUGAUGGUUCUAAAGGUAGAAGAAAACUUCAGAGACUCAGCCAUCAAGACACCGUCUCGUUUGACCCAAAGGGGACGAGGUGGCGUCUGAGCCCAGCCCCUAGUAUCGUGCACCACGGUAGCAAGUGUCCAGGCGAAGUGGGUUGGGUCCACACCUUGGGGGUGAGAAUCUGGUCAAAGUGCUGAUCGGUGAGGACGGGGCAGGGAGUCGGGGUCGGGGUCAGGAGGCUGGCUUUUCCCACACUCUUUACACCCUCGGCGGUUUUACUCUGUGCGUUUGCAGUUUGCUUCAAAAACGAGGAUAAACACGCCACUAAAAGCAGCCAGCCGCUUGAAGUGUCUGGUGCCAGCUUUCGGGGUAUGACAGGUGUGGAAAUCCCACGACAACCCAGCCCCCAGUUUCUCUGUGCGCACGGGCCAUGGGCGCCACAGCCAGGAGUGCCCCAGGAGUGGCUGUGGCCUGGUCGAUGGCAGUGGUGCAUCUUCUCCUUCACAUGUCCCUCCUCAUCCCUGCAAUUCUUCAAGAGCACCCCACACACACACAUUUACUUAUUUACGGCGGGCUGACGUUGCAGCACUGGUGGCCGAUGAAUGGUCAGCUCAUCUCGGGUCCUUCUAGCCAUGAUUACACUUCUGAACGAAGACGCCUCCAACUGUUAGGCCUUUAUUCUGGGAGGAAGAGAGAGAGGCUGACUGUAAGUUCUGCUGCCGUGGACCACAAAUAUCUUCAUCUGCUUGGGCUGCAGCAAAAAAGUUACCAGAGACCGGGCAGCUUGUAAACAACAGAACUGUAUUUACUUCUGGAGGCCGGAAGCCCUAGACCGCGGCGCUGGCAGCCUCGGGGCCCGGGGAGGGCCCGCUUCCUCAUUCUGCUGCCAUCUGCUCGCUGCGGCCUGACGUGGUGGAGGGAGUGCAGGAGCGCUUGGGUCCCUUUUAUAAAAACACGACCCCAUCCGUGAGGGCUCCACCGUUGGCACCCAGUCACUCCCCAGAGAGCCCGCCUCCUGGUCCCACCGCAUCUGGGGCUGUGAGUCCAGCAUCUGAAUCUGCGAGGGGCACAAACUUUGCGGCUGUGACAACCGAUGCUUCUUGUAUUUGCUUGGCUGCAGCAUUUUUUUCCACCUUGCAGGAGUCUCUGCGAUCUCAUUUGCGAUUGCCUUUCCCAUACCCUCGCACACUCACUUUUUUCUGCCCAGAUUCAGUGGGUUGGUAGCAGUAACAGGAGAAAGUCACUAGGUCUGCCGAACAAGGCUCACUGAAGAAUUUUAAAAUAUUGAAGGACGGUCGCUGAAAGCAUCACGGUCCUGGUCUGGACUUUUCCCCCCGAAUUCAUAUCUGAGACGAGUGUGUUUUCAUUCACAGGACUGCGUUUCCUUUGGCCUCCAGGUACAUAGGAGAGUUAGGCUUGUUUUAAUUAUGUUGCUUUAUUUUCUUUCCACAAACCAAACAGAAAUGAAAAGAAUUCAGAAGCGCGUGCCGGUACCAUUCAAACCUUUCCAGAAGCGCCGGAAAUAAACAGCGGGACCCCGGUCUCGGCAUCGCUCUGAAGCCGGGCAGAUGCCGUGCAUCCAGCAUCAGUUCCCUGGGCCAGAUCUCCUGCCAUUUCCGUGGUCAUCUACAGAACCCAGGCUGAAAUGCAGAAACCACGGGGGUUGUUGGAGCCCAGCGUGGACAUUUCCACGUCUGCCCAGUUACAGCGGUAGUAAUGUUUGUCUCUGGUGUGUGGUGCACGUGGCCCGAAGCAGCAUCUGACGGCACAUUUCACGGUGGGUCGCCGAGAAGUUAUGCUUGGAGAACUUCUGCAUGAGAUAUUUUGGGAAACAGAACAGUGUGUCCUCGGGUUGUCCUGUGUGGCUGGUAUAUGCUUUUGUGUCUCUGCACUAAAUAAAAGCGCGUUUCACUGGCUGGCCUCGAGGGCAGCCGGGCUCGGAGCCAGCACUCAUUCAAUCAGGAAGAAAAACCCUCGGUGCCAACACACUGGAUGGGAGCGGGCCGUUUGUGAGCAGAGGGAGCCAACGGGAAAACAGAAGCAGCAGACGUCCGUCUCGGGCAGAUUCGGCCAGCUGGAUCGAUGAGUCUAAAGAAACAGAGCCUGAAGUCGGGAAGGAGCAGCCGCCGCGCACCGUGUGAGGGCAGCAAGCGCUGCCCUGGGGGCCCCGCGGAAGGAGCCUCCCCCGCCCGGCGUGGGCAGUGCAGUCACCCCGGACUGGGGGGAAGCUGGUGAUGCUGUACUGAGUCUGGUGCCCGCGGUCAUGAGGGGUCAGACGAAGGGUCUGCCCGGGGAAACCUGGGGGCCCCGCAGCAGAAUGUGAUCAGGUCGUGCCCUGCCGUCCUGAGUGAGGCUUCCUGCCUGGAGUGGCGCCGUGAGGCGAGAGGCGGCUCAGUCACAACUCUGCCGGAGGCCCUUCCUGCCCACAUUUCGGAGGGCAAACCUGAGCUUCUGUGUCUGCCUCGUGGGACUGCAGGGUGAAGGCAUCUCCCCCGGGGUCAGGAAAAGAUGGACGUGAACUUGGAACAGAGAUGCAUACAGAUUCUUCUCCCACUGUGUUCUGUUCAAGGUGUUUCUCCAAACAUAAGCCGAGAGCCUGGGCGUGGAGAGAGGAGAGACCUCAAGGGCCAGCCCAUGGCGACCGAGGGUCCACCUCCUCUCCGACUCCCUGAAUUUACUGAUUCUGACUCGUCAGUAAAGCGAAACCACGCAACCCGCGACCGUUUUGUGCCUAGAACGGCGUUUUUGGGGUCCGUCCACGGCGGACCAUCCGUCAGCACGUCACCGCGCAUCCCCUGCUUCCCACCGCGCUGUGGCUGCUGCCGUUUCUACCUGCCGUCUGUUCGGUGCGGACUGGUGUCUCGUUGCGUUGGAUUCGCAGUGUCCCAGCAACUCGUGACGCUGAGAACCUCCUCACGUGCGUCUUGACCACGUGGGUCUCUUCUUUAGAAAAGUCUCUGUCAAGUCCUUUGCUCGUUAAAACCGAUCAGGUCAUCUGUCUUCCUGCUGCUGGGUUGUAAGAGUUCCUUCCACGUCUGCGUCCUAGACCCUCAGCUUACGUGUGGUUUGCAAACAUUUCCCCUCAUUCUGCAGGCGGUUUCUUCAUUUCCUUGAUGGUUCCCUUCGACACACAAAACAUUUAACGUCGAUGAAGCCCGGCUCAUGUGUUUUUUCUUUUGCUGUUUAUGCCUCUGGUAGCACAUCAAAGAAUCUCACUGCCAGAUCCCAAGUCACGAGAUUCGCUCCUACAUUUUCUCCCGAUGGUCUUGUUCUGUUAGCUUUUCCAUUUCGAUCUUUGACCGCCUUUGAGCUACAUUUUACGUGUGGAGGGAGGUAGACCAGUUUCAUCCUCUUGCACGUGGAAAUCCAGUUUCCCAGCCCCUUUUCGCAAAGAGACUCUUCUUUCCGGAUUGAAUUAUCUCAGCAUCCUUGUCGAAAAGCAGUCGACCGUGGGUGUGUGAGUUAAGUUCUGGACUCCCCGUUCCAUUCCACUGCUUUGUAGGCGUGUCUUUGUGCCAGUGCCACACUGUUUCCGACUGACGUAGCAGCGUGUUAAUAUUGAGAUAGGGAGGUGUGAGUCCUGCAGCUCUGUUCCUAUUUCUCAAUAUCGUGUUGACUAUUUGGGACAACUUGCAAUUUCAUGAGAACUUUGAGUUCUGAUUCACCAGAUGUGAGGGGGAAGAAGCCGAAGCUGUUCUGAUAGGGAGUUCGCUGCAUCUGUGAAUUGCUUUGGGGUGCUUUGACGUCUUAGCAAUAUUAAAACUUUCAAUCUGUGAACACAGGAUAUAUUCCCUUUUUUUAUAUACAUCUUAUCUAAUUACUUUCAUUGAUGUUUAGUAGUUUCCAGUGUGCAAGUCUUACACCUUUUGAUUAAACUUAUUCCUGAGUAUUUUAUUCUUUUUGAUGCUGUUUUUAUAUGAAAGUUCUUUCCUAAUUUCAUUUUUGGAUCAUGCAUUGCUAGUGUAUAGAAAUACAACUAGCUUUUAUCUGUUGAACUUGUAUCCUGCAACUUUGCAGAAUUCUCUUAUUAGCUCUGGCAGUUUCCUGGGACGUAUUUAGGAUUUUCAAUAUUUAAGAUCGAGUCAUCUGCGGAUAGAGACGGUUCCACAUCUUCAUUUCCAGUCUGUAUGCCUUUUCUUGCCUAAUUGUUCCUGUGAGAACAACACAGCGUUGAACAGAGGAGGGAAGCGGGAAGCCUGUCUUGUUCCUGAACGAGGCUGGAAAGCCGUGCAUUUUUCCAUCAUGAAAGGCUGCCGGCUUUUGUCAGAGACUUUUUCUGUAUUGGUUGAGAUGAUCAUCUUUCUUCUUCAUCUUCUGUUGUGUUGGGUUGAAUGACUUUGGUGUGUUUUAACCAUCCUCACAUUCCUGAGAUAAAUCCCACUGGGUCGUGGAAUUUAUUAGUCCUUUCAAUAUGCUGCUAGAUCAGACUUCCUAGUAUUUUGCUGAUAUUUUAUGCACCAAUAUUCACAAGGGGAACUGGUGUGUGGUUUUCUUUCCUUGUGGCGUCUUUGUCUGGCUUCGCUGUGAGGGUGACACUGGCCUCCGGUCACGCUCUAGAGAGGGUUUCCUCCUCUUCCGUUUAUAAAGGAGGGUUUGAAGAGGUCUUGGCGCUUCUGAAUGUCGGGCAGCAUUCCCCAGUGCCGGCGUCUUGCCGUGGUUUGGACUGAGUCCUGCUUCAGUCGCUUGCCCUGUUACGGCUCUGCGCAGGUUUUCCCUUUCUUCCUGAGUCGCUUCUGUCACUUACGUGUUUCUAGGACGCCCCCCCCCACAGACUUUCUCAGAUCCCUUUUCUCAGUGGCACGUGUCACAGAGCGGCCGCCUGGUGAUUCCACGGUUAGCACCUAGGGUUGCCAGUGCCCAGGACGAUCAGAGCUGGGGCUCUCAGGCGGUGCCACGUGGAGCCUGACGGGCUGCAGCGCAGCAGAAGGCAGGGCCCCUCCAAGGAGAGAUUCUCGCCUGAUAGCUGCGCUGAGCCCUUCCCACGGCCCUGCCGAGGUCAGGACGCCCGUGGCCUUUCAAGGUAUCCAAACGAACAAACGUCUCCCCCAAGCAAACCAACCAACCAACCACCUUUGUCCUUCAUCCAGCAAGAACCAGAUUUCAGCCACUUGCCCCCAAGAGUCUUAACUUCUAAAGCUAUCCUCUCCAAACUGUGUAGAAUUUUGUUCCCACCACCCGUUACCAUGACGACCCACCUAUUGAUUGAGUUAGUUUCGUGAACAACGGAGGUGGCGAGGCCACUUACGGUGCUGGUCUUACCCAAGCAUAUCUUCGUCAGUGUGCUGGAUUAGGUUCUCCAGCUCCUGUAGACUCCACGUGCUUCCAGGACCCUAAAUGACCAGACGAUACUCUCAGAAAGCACAGCCCUCCCGGGGGUGACGUGAACGCCGCCGCAUGGGGAGCAGGGCAGGAAGAAGCAGAAACAGUACAAAGUCGUCAGCUCAGAAAUUCAGCUCUGAUCCGGGAAGAUCCCGAUUUGAGAGCAGAGCUUCAGUAGAACUGAUGAAUUAUAAAUCCUCUCCUCCCCAAGCUGCUUGCACAGAACCGUCCCACACCGUGCUCAUUCGCCACUUUAUUUAAUACUUCCGUUUCAGUUUUGGGGGAGGGGGGAGCAUCCAUGCUCCGAGGCCUGUGGGUUGAGCUAAUUAGCACCGAGGGCGGGCGGGGGUGGGGGCGGGGAGGACCUGGUCUGCUUUGUGAUGUUUGUGCAGCAAAGAAUGUCAGGGGAAAGAAAGCUUCUUUAUGUAACUUAAUGGGGGACUCUCCAUGUUCGCUACAGGAUUUCUCCAAGACUUCAAAUAAAUUAAAUGAAAUUUC